UAGAAGGUGCUUCGGGCGCGGCGACGGUUCAAGUCCUUUGGAACUGGGCGUCUUAGAGGGUGAGAACCCCGUACGUGACCGCCCGCCAACCCCGUGUGAAGCCCUUUCGACGAGUCGAGUUGUUUGGGAAUGCAGCUCUAAAUGGGUGGUAAAUUUCAUCUAAAGCUAAAUACCUGCCAGAGACCGAUAGCGCACAAGUAGAGUGAUCGAAAGAUGAAAAGCACUUUGAAAAGAGAGUCAAACAGUACGUGAAAUUGUUGAAAGGGAAGCGCUUGCAACCAGACUCGCUCGCGGGUGCUCAGCCGUCCCUCGGGGCGGUGCACUCACCCGCGAUCGGGCCAGCAUCGGUUCUGACGGCCGGACAAAGGCCCCGGGAACGUAGCUCUCUUCGGGAGUGUUAUAGCCCGGGGUGCAAUGCGGCCCGCCGGGACCGAGGACCGCGCUC
rnacentral:rRNA from 1 species